GAUGGACGCUGGCGGCGUGCUUAACACAUGCAAGUCGAACGGCAGCACAGCAGUAGCAAUACUGUGGGUGGCGAGUGGCGGACGGGUGAGGAAUACAUGGGAAUCUGCCCUGUCGUGGGGGAUAACGUAGGGAAACUUACGCUAAUACCGCAUACGACCGAGAGGUGAAAGCGGCGGACCGCAAGGCGUCGCGCGAUUGGAUGAGCCCAUGUCGGAUUAGCUAGUUGGCGGGGUAAAGGCCCACCAAGGCGACGAUCCGUAGCUGGUCUGAGAGGAUGAUCAGCCACACUGGAACUGAGACACGGUCCAGACUCCUACGGGAGGCAGCAGUGGGGAAUAUUGGACAAUGGGCGCAAGCCUGAUCCAGCCAUGCCGCGUGAGUGAAGAAGGCCUUCGGGUUGUAAAGCUCUUUUGUCCGGAAAGAAAAGCCUUCGGUUAAUACCCGGGGGUGAUGACGGUACCGGAAGAAUAAGCACCGGCUAACUUCGUGCCAGCCGCCGCGGUAA
rnacentral:rRNA from 1 species